AAGAUGAGCUGACUGCAGUUAUUUUUAACACAAAGGCUUUGGAAGAAGAAAAAGUAAAGAUUUAUCAAAAACCACAAACAGAUCCUGAGUUUUUACGGUUAAAGAGAGAAUUGGAAUUAUAUAAGGAGGAUGAUUUGGAAAGUGUUUGUGAGGCCCUUCGAACAGAGAUACAGUAUUUGCAAAUGAAACUAUCACAUUGCAGUCAUCCUCCGAAUAGCAACUCAACUUUCUGAGUGGUGUGCCCCUGACUUGCCUGAUGAGCUAGAUCACAUUGGAAAAAGAAGGCAGC